CAAAACAGUCACAAAUGAAAAAAGACAUACCAUACACUAAAUCAAAGCAAAAGCAGAAACGUUUCCAGCUUUAAUGACCUUGAAACCUGCAGCAAGUCCAGAUUUCAAAACUUCACAACAGAGAUUGAAACAGAGGACGACUCUACUUACGUUGAACCGAUCUCUUCACAUCAUUACCACAAUUGGCAACCAAGUGAUGAUGAUUCCCACGGAUACCAAAAUGUGAUUGAGGCAAUCAAAAGCAAUAAACUUGUGGCAGAUGAAGACAUCUAUGAGAACAAGAUAGCAAUUCAGAUAUGGAAGCAGGGACAGACAUUAGAAAGCGACAGUAGUAGUGAAGAAGAAUCUAUUUACAUCAAUACAGAACAAUAUAGCAGGCGGUAACAUGGCUUCCCUCUAAAACCAUCGAAUGCUGGGGUGUCAAAGUCGUGUCGUCACGGUGGUGUCACGUGACAUCGGGACUCCCCCCCCUUUGCUAAACCGAGUGAGGGCGGGGUCAGCACGUGACACAUCUGGCCUGUGGGCUGCAAGUUUGACACCGCUGAUCUAAUGUGACUUCCAAUUGCAUUAAAAAUACAUUUAAACCUCAUCCUGAGAAUGAAGAGUUGCAUUUUCAUUUUUCCAGUUCUCAAAGGAGCAAUGCCCAUUUGUGAGAAAUUGGUAUCCUAAAUCUACUUCUUUUCUAAUGGAUUAACCUGGGAUCCAGGCAGUAACUUUCCACCUGUGAUUGAAAUCUUCAAGGGCCUAAAUCCAAGAGGAAUGAAAGCAUCCCAACGCCAACAUACCAGAAGACGGGAUACCAACACUGAACUAGUUUACAGGAUUGUUAUACCUUGUUCUUUCAACAUCUUCCUGGCCAUACUUUCAGCGUCUGUUAUUUCUGACUCACUUUCCAGACCUUAACAAAAUUUAUCACAAUGUCCCAGAUAGUGAAUCUUGCUAGUGAAUAUUUAUGAGGCAUGUAUGGACUUUAGGAUAAUUUUUAGAAAUCUGCAGAAACGACAAGCCGCCACAUCAUUAAAUAAAUAAAAUGUUAACAAAAUAGA